rnacentral:rRNA from 1 species
CGCUAUCAGAUGAGCCCGCGGUGGAUUAGUUUGUUGGUGGGGUAAUGGCCUACCAAGACUGCGAUCUAUAGCUGUUCUGAGAGGAAGAUCAGCCACACUGGAACUGAGACACGGUCCAGACUCCUACGGGAGGCAGCAGUGGGGAAUAUUGCACAAUGGGCGCAAGCCUGAUGCAGCAACGCCGUGUGAGUGAAGAAGGCCUUAGGGUUGUAAAACUCUUUUAGCUGUGAAGAUAAUGACUGUAGCAGCAGAAAAAGUCCCGGCUAACUUCGUGCCAGCAGCCGCGGUAAUACGAAGGGGGCUAGCGUUACUCGGAAUCACUGGCCGUCGAUUUACAACAGGUGGGUUGAUUAGUCAGAAGUGCCGGCCCAAGGCUCGACCUUGGAACUGCUUGUGAUACUGUCAAGCU